rnacentral:lncRNA from 1 species
UUACAGAUUUAGGGGCAGGUUACAGAUUUAGGGGCAGGUUACAGAUUUAGGGGCAGGUUACAGAUUUAGGGGCAAAUUACAGAUUUAGGAGCAGGUUACAGAUUUAGGGGCAGAUUACAGAUUUAGGGGCAGAUUACAGAUUUAGGAGCAGGUUACAGAUUUAGGGGCAGGUUACAGAUUUAGGGGCAGGUUACAGAUUUAGGGACUGAUUACAUGGAGCGAUUUCAGCUUGGGCUGCCGUUUCAGCCAGGCUACCCGGGCUGAAAAUUUUGACGAUUACAUGGGUAUUUUCAAUCUGAUUCAGCCCGGGUAAAUUUAUCGCAUGCUACGCGGGAUAUAGGAGCUUAACGUGCUAAAUUUGGUAAAAACACUACUGUACAACGCAUGCGUGUAAAGAGUUUCAGCCCGGGCUGAAGUGAUUACAUGGGAAGAAUGUAGCCGGGCUCGGAGCCAUCGCUCCAUGUAAUCAGCCC